AUAUUUACGAUUCUUUUUUAUCAAACCGUAUGCAUUGCCCAUUAAAUUUUAUUUUAUGCAUUUCUUGUUGGUUGCUAUGAUAUUUUUGAUUGUGCAUCAAAAUCUAAAGUUUAUAAUAUUUAGUAGAUUAAGAUAUAAGAAAACAUAUAAUGUUAAUGUAUAUGCUUGUUUAAUUUAUAAUUGUCUUUAGUAUUGUUAAGUUAGAUCCUUAUUGAAUGUGUAAAUAAGGUUUCAACGAGGGUUUGAUUGCAUGUCUUAGGCUCUUAGCUCCUAUUCUUUAAUUUGUAAAAAUCUGAUAAAGAUGUUAAACUUUUACUACAAAUUGAAGUGUUAAGGAGGCUGGGUUUCCUUGAAUUAAUCCAAAACACCCUUUCAUUUGUCUUGAAUAAAGGCUAUAGCUAUAAUUAUUGUUUAGAAAUAUCUUUGUGUACAAUUGGGAGCAAGAAGAAAGGACAAUCCUCAAGCCACACCUAGGCUCUUCCUUUUGCUGAGAAAACUUUGCUAGCUCUCUCGAGUUGUGUGGUUACUGCACAAAUUGGAAAGAUACACAUUCUAAGCUUAACAUGUUUUGCCUAAUAUCAUUUAGCAAUUGUCCCUAUUCAACAAAAUAGCGUGCUACAUUUGUAAGUGCAUUAUCAUCCCAGCGUCUUCACAUUCCACAAUCACUCUACUAAAUUCCGUGACAUGACUUCAUUGCACUAUAUGUGAGAGAGGAGUAAUACAUGUUCUUUUAAUCAACGAUGAAUCACAAACUCUCUCAGACAAUGCAGCAAGCACCUCACUUGCUCUAUCAUGUUACUGCUCCCACACCUCCAGUCCCAUCUUUGAUGCUCAAACCAGCAACAUUUAUCUUAAAACAGCUUGCAUCCGGAGGUAAUCACUUCACUGGAUCCAGAAGAAGUGAAUAUCCUGCUGUUUCUGAUCAAUGAAUCACUUUUGUCAUUUAAACAUUCGACGUACUUUCAAAAGCCACAAUAGGGAAGGAAAUUGAAAAAAACUUAAAUUGGAACCCACAUUCUUGCUGAAAUGAGAAACAGAGGAACUCAAAAUUCGGCAAAACUGGGAGGUUCUGACCUUGACAUUUUGGUAUGGAAGGUCAACUGCCGAAUGGCACUUUAAGGCUUUCAAUGCCGAUUUAUCCUGCCUUCUCCUCCUACUUCUGUCAUCCUACAGCAGCUUCUUGAUAGUUAAAUGCACAUUUUGGGAACUUGUAACUCAAAUGGGAAACUCAGAUUUGGGUUAAUUCAUGUAUCAAGGUCAAUUAGUCAAUGUUAGUUACAAGUAGCGCAUGCAUAUUUCACUUCAUCAAUAUUGGCACCUGAGCUUGUUGUUUUGCAUCUGUGGUAUGUGAGAUUUUUUCAUUUUUCAUGCUAUUCAACUUGCAAUUCAGAGCUUGGCACCUGUGCUUGUAUUCUCGUUUCAAAGGAUCUUCCACAAACAUAUUACGUGGAAUGAGGCCAUACUACAUUCUCAUGGUUCCAUUGUUUCACUUCUUUUCAUAAUGAAGAUUAUCUACUUACUUGAAUUAUAGCCAGAGGUAUUUGGCACAAUUAGUUGUUUCUUAUCACAUUUGAAUAGGUAUUCUUUUGGGGGAGAAGUUUGGUUUAUACUUUAUGGUUAAUACAUAUUUAGAUGAAUCAGUUGCUUUUGGCAUUUUACAUUGUAGAUAUUGCAAACACAUCUCACGGACCUAUGCUUUUCUGGUACAUUCAUAAGUACUUGCCUUCAGUUCAUUUGGCAUGUUAAUUGUAGUUAGUUAGUUCCCUACAAACAUUUAUGCUUUCAGCCCUAUAUGUGAAGUGGCAGCCUUCUCUGUACAGUAUUAAAAAAGGCUGUUAAAUUUCUUUAGCUAAAUUUUUGUUAAACCUUUGUAUGCUUGUGCAGAUGAGCUUGGAGGAGGAGAAUACAAAGGCCUUACUUAUACUCAAUGAAAAUUGUACUCACAUUAAAGGAGGGCAAUGAAGAAUUUAGGAAAACUUCUUAUGACAUACUCCUUAAGAUAAGUGCCAGCUUGAAAGACUCAUCAGCUAUUUCUGAUGCCCCUUAUCACAAACUGAUUUAGCAUGAUCAUGGGCUAUCUUUCUGGCUCAUAUCCUCAGUUAAUAAGUGGAAGAGCGUCUGCUUUGUCAGUAUUGGUUUAUCAGGAUGUAGAUAUCUCUCUGUCAAUGCCUGAUCUUUUCCCUUACUUUUAUCUUUGCUGCAUACCAAAGUGGGGGAAGUGAUAAAAGUGAGUGUUCUCUUAAUUGCUCCUGAUUCAGAGUGUUGGUACGAUUUUGCUUUCAAUGCUAGUUGAUUGCAUAUUUAAGGGCUGUUUUGGGCUUUUUGAAAGUACUAGUGUCAUGCUUACAAGACAAAGACCUGCACAGUAUUUUGUCUGAUGUUGUGUAUGAAGUUCAACCAUGGUCAUUGUCCCCAGACAUCAUUUUAGAUCAUAGGCACAAGCAAAUUUGACAUUAAGCACUUAUUGGCCUUAUAUACAUAAUAAUGAAAAUGUAUUGGUGUUGGUGUUGGAAAUUUUCAACACAUGCACAUACAUCUUUAUUUACAGGUCAUUGUAAUAAUGACGAUUUUGAUACGGAAGUGAGGUUCUGCAAUAGUUGGGUCAGUUACUCCAGAGAAAUAUAAGGUUUUUCUGAAGGCCAUUUUUGAGAACCGCAAUUCGAAAACAAGUCCAAAGAAUCUGGUGCUGGUUAUACAGAAAUGACGCUUGCAGAUUCAUUUACAAAGCCUUCUGGAUCCAUGCUGGAGAAGAGGAAACACAAAGCAAUGGGUUCUGUAACUAAGGAGAAUGGUUCAGUAGAACAAAGGAAAAGAAAGAGAGAGAAGAAAAUCAAUGCCCUUAUCCCUAGCUCAAAUGAGCAUCACUUGUCAUCUGGUAUUGUUGGUGGUUUAAGAGCAGUUUAAAGUGCUAAGUGCUCUAAUAAUGCAAAAUCACUGAAGAGUCAGUAGAAGGAAAGACAAACGAAGAGCACUAGGAAUCACAACAAAAUUAUGACAAGUCAUGACCAGAGCAAGAUGGAGCUGACUAACACUAGCAAGAAAAGCAAUCCUUACACCUAGUGCUUCCAAAUUAGUUAAACACAAGGGGAGAAAGUUGUUGGAAAGAGUGGAAAACCUCUUCAUUACAAUGGUAGCACAUUCCACCGGAUUAUUCCCUACUUCAUGAUCCAGGGAAGUAAUUUUGCACUUGGUAAUGGAGGAGGUGGAGAAUCAGUCUAUGGCUUAGAAGCUUGCUGACAAGAACAUCAGGAUGAAGCAUACUGGACAAGGGUUGGUUGGUGUUUUGUUCAAGAUUAUUGAGAGAUAUCACUUUCUUCUUUGUUGUUUUACACUCCCAAUUUUUCAGUUCUGCCCCUAUAGCAGAGACGUUAGUACAAAUGAAGUAUAUCUCUAAACUUGUAAGUGAUCUUCCAAUUGUUUCUACUUUCUGGGUAUGUGAUCGUAAUGUUAGAGGAACACCUCCCAUCUCUUCCAUUCCUCUCUCUGCAUUUGGAGUUUUGGAUGGAGAUGGACUAUGUUCCUCUUUUGUGAAAUAAAGUUUUCAUAUUCAAUAAUUAAAAAAAAAAAAAAAAA